rnacentral:rRNA from 1 species
UACGGAGGGUGCAAGCGUUAUCCGGAUUCACUGGGUUUAAAGGGUGCGUAGGUGGGUUGGUAAGUCAGUGGUGAAAUCUCCAGGCUUAACUUGGAAACUGCCAUUGAUACUAUCAAUCUUGAAUACCGUGGAGGUCAGCGGAAUAUGUCAUGUAGCGGUGAAAUGCUUAGAUAUGACAUAGAACACCGAUAGCGAAGGCAGCUUACUACAGGAUGAUUGACGCUGAGGCACGAAAGCGUGGGGAGCAAACAGG